rnacentral:misc_RNA from 1 species
GUUCUCUUCUUUUAGGAGAAAGUAAGUCAUGUUGUAAAUAUUGCAAAAUGACCAUUCAUCCGUUUCGUUUUAAGAUCAACGAGUUUAUUGAAGUUUAAGACUAUAUCAAGGAAUUCUAACCUCACAUAAAAGAACCUGAUUGCUGAUUCCUCAGAUUGCAAGGUUUGUUGAUGGGACAGAAUGCGGGAAAACAUACCACCGGUAAACACAACCCCGGUCACUCCCGUAAGGUGAGCAAGGCCUCAGGGGAUGGAUCUGACUCUGACUCAGUAGACACCAGCUCCUCUAGCCAGAGUCCAUCCACCCCAUCAGGACUCAAACACGGCAUGGCUUCUCUCUUCAGGAAGCAGAGCGAUGCAUGCAAGAAACGUAUGGACCACCAGCUGUAUUUGGCACAAGAAAGUCCUGAACCAACAAUAGAUUUAUCAAAGUGUGAACUGGAAGAGAUACCACCCCUUGUAUUUUCUCUCAGUAAAAUUCUGAGCAAGGAGGCUGUUUUUCUAGGAGAUAACUGGCUUGGAUCACUAAGUGGCGGAAAAUGUAUUGAUAUGAGGACUGUCAGGGUUUUGGACCUCCACAACAAUGAAAUCAAAGUUUGACCUCGCCCUCACCAACAUGAUAGAUGUCCUACAGAAACAGGAAGAGUUCCAGAGAGAUGCUUUUGAGGCCUUACAGCUUCAGAAGGAUGCCAAGACCCAGAGAAUUACUCAGCAGAUUAAUAUGAUAGAGGAAGAACUCGCUGGUCUCACUCUAGUGGAGCUUCAGAGGAAAGAGGAACGGACCGACGAUGAAAUUAAUUGUCUGGCUGAGAAGAGAGUAGAACUAUUGGGAUUACUGUCUCAGUUGAUGAGUGAACAGGAGAGCCGAAGAGAAGAGCUCAGAAAGCGACUGGCUGAGAUGGAGCAACAGAAGGAGGAUGGACAGACAGACUAUUGGUUGGUCCAGUACCAGCGACUCAUGGACCGCAAACCACAGGCUCUCAUGGACCAGGAGCAUCGCUUAGAGAUCACCGUGGUAACAGUGCUAGAUGAUUCUGGGGCUCAGGAUUACCUCCCUGUGUUUGCUAGACAUCGUAUCACCAUAGAAACCUUGCUGCAAAUGACAGAUGAUGACCUUAAACAGAUGGGAGUUCAUGAACUUGGAUUACGAAAAUCCAUUUUGAAAAAUGUUGAAAAUUUUAGGACAUCAAAAAGAGCCUCAGUACAAAAAGAGGCAGAAGCAAGUCCAAGUCACGUCAAUAUGGACAAAUUCAGAAAUACGGAGGAUGUGACUUUUGAUCACCCGGCUCCUUCAGCUCCUCUAGUGAGACAAGAGUCCAUUCUAGCAAGGGGACUUAACUCAGAAUGUGUGAUAUGUCUUGACAGACAGUCUGCUGUAAUUUUCUUGUCCUGUGGCCAUGUUUGCUGCUGUAACGAGUGCUCUAUUCCCCUCAAAGAGUGCCCCUUGUGUCGAGGAGCUAUUGUACAGCGAAUCAAACUCAGCACUGCCGUGGUUUCGGAACACCCCCUGUUGGCAGCCCUCCCUUCAGAGCCCACUGAACACCCACCUCCAGCACCGCUAGUGUAGUGGUCAGCUGUGGCUGUUGAGUUAGUGAUACAUUACAGGUGUGACAAGUAUGAUCAGUCGGUGUUAAUUACAGGUGUGAUAAUUGUGACGAGUCAGUGUUGAUGACGUUUGUGACAAGUGUGAUAGUCCCCGCAUUGAGACGUGACUCUGAUACACAGUAAAUCCAAUCAAUUCAUGGUUCUGUGUGUCCCUUUUUACAGUAAUGCUUUAGUAAUUGGUGUUCGAUGUAUUUAUGUUAAACAUGUUUGAUUAUAUCAGUUGUGUAUCCCCCAUCUUUAUUACAUAUAUGUGCAUAUACAGGUACUGGAAUGAUACCAGUUACAUGUAUUAUAUAGCUAAUAACUCUUCAUUAAACUUUGUUUAUAGUUAUGGAACAUGUGUAGCUGCAAAAUCAAAGCAAACACUCUUCCUUAUUUGUGAUUAAGAUUAUCUUCUGAAACAAAUGUUAUGACCAAUGAACACUGUCAGAACAGUGUAUCUUAAUAAAAUUAAAUAACUGUUCUUUUGUUGGCUGUGAACUGAAUUAUUUACAUACUUGUUUUACUCAAAGCAGUUAUGUUCUGGGCUGUUGUUCAUAUUUGUUGUUUUCUCUUGUUUCAUUCUGUGCAAUGCUGUUACCCAUUGUUAUUGUUGUAAUGCAAUUUUUGAUUAAUUAUCAUACAAUGAACUUGUACUUGAAUAAAUGUGUACAAUGUAUGCAUUCAGUGUACAUGUAAUAAUGAG